GACGAACCGUGCGAACGUUGUUCGGAAUCACUGGGCUUAAAGGGCGCGUAGGCGGGUCGGCAAGUCAGGGGUGAAAGCCCGCGGCUCAACCGCGGAAGUGCCUUUGAUACUGCCGGUCUUGAGGGAGGCAGGGGAGCGCGGAACUUCCGGUGGAGCGGUGAAAUGCGUAGAUAUUGCUCGGAAGGCCAGAGCCGAAGGGGCCCUACUGGUACGUAACUGACACUGAGGCACGAAAGCGUGGGGAGCAAACAGG
rnacentral:rRNA from 1 species